AGCUCUUCAAGGUCACAUGGCCAGAGGGCCUCCGGAUGGGGCUCCUCAUUGAGUCUCUAGGAACCUCCCUGGGGCUCAAAGCUGAGGCCCCAACAGGGGUUCCAACUUGCCUCGAAUGAGUGUGGUGCUGUCUGCCCACGGAGCGGCUGGAGUUGGUUCCCCUUUGGCGUCUGUGUUGACACAACCCAGUGACCUCAUCAUGGCACAGUCCUGGUGUUCACAGAGAGGUGCUGAGAGGGGACAGGACUGUGGUCACUGACAGAGAGGAGGAGGAAGACAGUUCGCUGGGCUGGCUCCUGACCCAGGUCCCCAGCUAGAAGAGGCACAAAUCAGCCCUGGUCAGUGGAGCCCUCUUGGGCCUGUGUGCCUCCCUGGACAAGCGUGAUGGGAAGAUGGUGAGGCUGGCAGUCAAGAGACCUUGAUGACAUCUCCAAGCCUUGGUUCCCACCUCUGUGAAACGGAGACUCUGAUUGUCUCCUUGUCAGGACUGUUGGUGGAAGGACGGGCCUCAGGACUUGGUGCAGAGUCAAAGCCCUGGAGGCGGUCACUUCUUCUUGGCCUCAGGAGCCCCGUGUUGGAGCCACUUCGGCGGAGCGAAACUGGUAUCUACCAUCCAUCCCCAGAGGCUCAUUAGACGUCGAGGAAGUAAACUUUCAAACUCAAACCACAUGCCACCCUCAAAGCACAGACCUUGUCCCCCCCACCCUCCAGCCCCCAGCCACUACCACCGUCGUGAAAGUCCCCAGGCACAGAACCGUUUCCUCGGAGGGGACACUGCAGGAGACCACAGUGCUCUGAGGCCACCGAGCAGCAUGGACAGAGCAGGGCUUAGAAUCUGAGCCAAGACCGACGGCUGACUCUCGCAGACCUUACGAUGGGCCUUCGCAUGCCCUGACUCAGGACAUCUCACCCAGAGGCACGGACCAUCAUGACCCUUACGGAGAGGACCUGAGCACAGAAAUGUUAAGGAACCUAUUUCAGAUGACCUGCAGCGAAGUGGCAAAGCCAAAACCCAGCCUGCCUGGGUUUGCAGCCGCAUUCUGCCGAUGCCCUGCUGUGUGACUUGGGGCAACUUACUCAGCCUUGCUGAAUCUGUUUUGUCAUGUGUGACACGAGCAUAGCACCACACCUGUCUCCUAGGGGAUGGCUGAAGGUCAGGUACACCGGGGACCUAACACAGUGCCUCGCGCACAGCAGGUGCCCAUAAAUGUAAGGAACGGCUAAGUAAAUGAGGUCCAGCUAAGAUGCCACCACCUUCCUGAGGUCUUUGUCCUUGAGUCUGCCCCGCAUUAGGCUGUUCAAGAAUGGGCAGCACCAGGAGAUCUCUGCAUUUCUGCUGUACUGUUGUGCAAGAUCACACAGCCAGGCAGUGGUAGAGGCAGGAGCUGCCUUCAGAUCAUCUGGCUUCAGGGCAGCGCACACUGUUGCUGCCAUCACACUGCCUGCCUCCGCCAGUGGAUUGUGGGUCCUUGAAGGCAG
rnacentral:lncRNA from 12 species